rnacentral:rRNA from 1 species
AUGAACGCUGGCGGCGUGCCUAAUACAUGCAGGUCGAGCGAACAGACGAGGAGCUUGCUCCUCUGACGUUAGCGGCGGACGGGUGAGUAACACGUGGAUAACCUACCUAUAAGACUGGGAUAACUUCGGGAAACCGGAGCUAAUACCGGAUAAUAUAUUGAACCGCAUGGUUCAAUAGUGAAAGACGGUUUUGCUGUCACUUAUAGAUGGAUCCGCGCCGCAUUAGCUAGUUGGUAAGGUAACGGCUUACCAAGGCGACGAUGCGUAGCCGACCUGAGAGGGUGAUCGGCCACACUGGAACUGAGACACGGUCCAGACUCCUACGGGAGGCAGCAGUAGGGAAUCUUCCGCAAUGGGCGAAAGCCUGACGGAGCAACGCCGCGUGAGUGAUGAAGGUCUUCGGAUCGUAAAACUCUGUUAUUAGGGAAGAACAAAUGUGUAAGUAACUAUGCACGUCUUGACGGUACCUAAUCAGAAAGCCACGGCUAACUACGUG